GAUGAACACUAGGUGUCGGGGGAAUCGACCCCUUCGGUGUCGUAGCUAACGCGUUAAGUGUUCCGCCUGGGGAGUACGCACGCAAGUGUGAAACUCAAAGGAAUUGACGGGGGCCCGCACAAGCGGUGGAGUAUGUGGUUUAAUUCGAUGCAACGCGAAGAACCUUACCAGGGUUUGACAUCCUGCGAACCUCUUAGAAAUUUGAGGGUGCCUUCGGGAAUGCAGUGACAGGUGGUGCAUGGCUGUCGUCAGCUCGUGUCGUGAGAUGUUGGGUUAAGUCCCGCAACGAGCGCAACCCACGUUUUUAGUUGCCAGCAUUUAGUUGGGCACUCUAGAAAGACCGCCGGUGAUAAACCGGAGGAAGGUGUGGAUGACGUCAAGUCAUCAUGCCCCUUACACCCUGGGCUACACACGUACUACAAUGCUACGGACAAAGGGCAGCAAACUCGCGAGAGCUAGCAAAUCCCAUAAACCGUGGCUCAGUUCAGAUCGUAGGCUGCAACUCGCCUACGUGAAGUAGGAAUCGCUAGUAAUCGCAGGUCAGCAUACUGCGGUGAAUACGUUCCCGGGCCUU
rnacentral:rRNA from 1 species